AACAGUACCCACAAAAUGCUACAUGCAAAAUGAGUCCUAUUUACAUUGUUUAGGCCUGAAGUUAUCAGGUUCCAAAAGUUUCAACAACUUCUCUAGCUUGGCCGAACCUUUGGUCGGCCUGAGAAUAAAGGAUCUUCCCAAGAAGGUGCACGGAUCUUUCCCGCCUACUGAGCUACCCAAACACCAUCCACCCGGGGUGAAGCGGCCAGGUGCCCGGCCCAACAACUUGGCGUCAAUCAUAUCCAGGACUGAAUUGUCAUUGGCGAAAGAGUGUGCAAAUGGCGCCCCGUUGUUUGCCAUCGCAUCAAAAUGCUCUGUUGUGAGGUUAACAGGGUGCGUCAGAGGGGGCUUAUCC
rnacentral:lncRNA from 1 species